ACGUGAUCUGAGUUCAGACCGGAGUAAUCCAGGUCAGUUUCUAUCUAUAAGGAGCCUCUUCUAGUACGAAAGGACCGAAAAGGCAUGGCCUAUACUUAAUGCAAGCCAUCACUAACAAUUUAUGAAAAAAACUUAAUAGAUAAUUUAUCCCUAAGCUAUCUCAAGAAAAGAGA
rnacentral:rRNA from 1 species